rnacentral:misc_RNA from 1 species
GAUGAAGAACGCAGCGAAAUGCGAUACGUAAUGUGAAUUGCAGAAUUCAGUGAAUCAUCGAGUCUUUGAACGCACAUUGCGCCCCCUGGUAUUCCGGGGGGCAUGCCUGUCCGAGCGUCAUUGCUGCCCUCAAGCACGGCUUGUGUGUUGGGCCUCCGUCCUCCUCCCGGGGGACGGGCCCGAAAGGCAGCGGCGGCACCGCGUCCGGUCCUCGAGCGUAUGGGGCUUCGUCACCCGCUCUUGCAGGCCCGGCCGGCGCUUGCCGACACAUCAAUCUUUUUUCCAGGUUGACCUCGGAUCAGGUAGGGAUACCCGCUGAACUUAAGCAUAUCAAUAAGCGGAGGA